CAAAACAUUUUGUUUGAUCAAAAAUGAAUUCUGUUUUACUUUUCAGUUUGCUGGAAAUUUUCAUUUUCUGUCUGACCCAAAACCAACUUUUUUCCACUUUUCAAAAUUAGCAACAAAACAAACAAAUCCAUUAUUUACCCUGCGCUAGCCACACCCAAAGGCCUGGUGUGAACACUGCUCAGGAAUUCCCCUCCUACAUCCUCCAUCAUUUUGCUAAAUCCUCACAUCCCCCAAUCCUUGCUGGCUACUCCCUGGUACACCAGGGUGGGAGGUAAACUUAGUGCGCCUGCACAGCAUGGGAAUCUAGAAACCCUCUCCUCUCCCUUGAUGCCUGCCUGCCUUCCCAGCCUCAGCUCAGAAUAGGAAGAGCUGGCAUAGGAAGGGCCUGGAGCUUACAUCACCACACAAAGAACAUCCAUUCUCUAAUCUGACUCCCAUCACAGGCAGGAGAUACCCCCUUCCUGACCCCAGUCAGCCACCGGAGACCCACUCCCACACCUACCCCCCCAUGUCAGAGAAGAGCCAUCUACUUUAAGAAACAAAGGGGACUCAAUUCUCAACCAACCAUCAACACAGAAGGGACAGGCUGCAGGACAUCACCCCUGCCUACCAGAAUUGCUGCCAUCAAAGGCCACAGGACAGCCACCUGCAUCAUUGCUACUUCUGUCAGGAAGAGCUGCCAGGGAGUCAGAAAUACUAAUUUUGGAUUUCCCAAGAGGGCUUUCUUCAUAGUGCUGCUCUCUUCCCUGUCUGUAUUUGCACAAUUCUCCUGAUUAAGAUGAAAAACAAUACAGUACUGUUCUGGGUCUCAGUGGUAGGAGCCUGGGUUUGCUACGCUGCCAGCAUGAAGAUUUUGCUAGUCCUGGGGCUUCUCCUCCUGCCUCUGGCUGCUCAUGGGAAGAUCUACGAAAGGUGUGAGCUGGCAAGAGCAAUGAAAAGGCUUGGGCUGGAUGGAUACUGGGGCUACAGCUUGGGACACUGUGGUGUCAGGAAUAAAUCAAUGGGAACACAGCACUUCCGGCUAAUGAAAGAUUGAUACAAG